rnacentral:rRNA from 1 species
UACGUAGAGUGCGAGCGUUGUCCGGAAUUAUUGGGCGUAAAGGGCUCGUAGGCGGUUUGUCGCGUCGGGAGUGAAAACACUGGGCUUAACUCAGUGCUUGCUUCCGAUACGGGCAGACUAGAGGUAUUCAGGGGAGAACGGAAUUCCUGGUGUAGCGGUGAAAUGCGCAGAUAUCAGGAGGAACACCGGUGGCGAAGGCGGUUCUCUGGGAAUGUCCUGACGCUGAGGAGCGAAAGUGUGGGGAGCGAACAGG